UAGACAAUAUUUAUGUACAUAGACUAUUAUAAUUUGAUAUUGUUUUUAACCCCAUUUACCACACUCGUGAAUACUUCCUCAUGUAUUGUUCUUGUAACUGUUCAUGUAAACAUAGUAUUCCAUCGUCUGUGUCAGAUCGGAAAAGCAC